rnacentral:piRNA from 1 species
UAUCAGUAAACGUUUGCCUAU